GCUUACGGCCAUACCAGCCUGGGUACGCCCGAUCUCGUCUGAUCUCGGAAGCUAAGCAAGGUCGGGCCUGGUUAGUACUUGGAUGGGAGACCACCUGGGAAUACCAAGUGCUGUAAGCA
rnacentral:rRNA from 1 species